rnacentral:rRNA from 1 species
CAGCCGCCGCGGUAAUACGAAGGGGGCUAGCGUUGUUCGGAAUUACUGGGCGUAAAGCGCACGUAGGCGGAUUUUUAAGUCAGGGGUGAAAUCCCGAGGCUCAACCUCGGAACUGCCUUUGAUACUGGAGAUCUUGAGUUCGGAAGAGGUUGGUGGAACAGCUAGUGUAGAGGUGAAAUUCGUAGAUAUUAGCUAGAACACCAGUGGCGAAGGCGGCCAACAGGUCCGAUACUGACGCUGAGGUGCGAAAGCGUGGGGAGCAAACAGGAUUAGAUACCCCCGUAGUCCCUGUCUCUUAUAA